GAUGAACGCUGGCGGCGUGCCUAAUACAUGCAAGUCGAACGAGUUCUCGUUGAUGAUCGGUGCUUGCACCGAGAUUCAACAUGGAACGAGUGGCGGACGGGUGAGUAACACGUGGGUAACCUGCCCUUAAGUGGGGGAUAACAUUUGGAAACAGAUGCUAAUACCGCAUAGAUCCAAGAACCGCAUGGUUCUUGGCUGAAAGAUGGCGUAAGCUAUCGCUUUUGGAUGGACCCGCGGCGUAUUAGCUAGUUGGUGAGGUAAUGGCUCACCAAGGCGAUGAUACGUAGCCGAACUGAGAGGUUGAUCGGCCACAUUGGGACUGAGACACGGCCCAAACUCCUACGGGAGGCAGCAGUAGGGAAUCUUCCACAAUGGACGCAAGUCUGAUGGAGCAACGCCGCGUGAGUGAAGAAGGCUUUCGGGUCGUAAAACUCUGUUGUUGGAGAAGAAUGGUCGGCAGAGUAACUGUUGUCGGCGUGACGGUAUCCAACCAGAAAGCCACGGCUAACUACGUGCCAGCAGCCGCGGCAAUACGUAGGUGGCAAGCGUUAUCCGGAUUUAUUGGGCGUAAAGCGAGCGCAGGCGGUUUUUUAAGUCUGAUGUGAAAGCCCUCGGCUUAACCGAGAAAGCGCAUCGGAAACUGGGAAACUUGAGUGCAGAAGAGGACAGUGGAACUCCAUGUGUAGCGGUGAAAUGCGUAGAUAUAUGGAAGAACACCAGUGGCGAAGGCGGCUGUCUGGUCUGUAACUGACGCUGAGGCUCGAAAGCAUGGGUAGCGAACAGGAUUAGAUACCCUGGUAGUCCAUGCCGUAAACGAUGAAUGCUAGGUGUUGGAGGGUUUCCGCCCUUCAGUGCCGCAGCUAACGCAUUAAGCAUUCCGCCUGGGGAGUACGACCGCAAGGUUGAAACUCAAAGGAAUUGACGGGGGCCCGCACAAGCGGUGGAGCAUGUGGUUUAAUUCGAAGCAACGCGAAGAACCUUACCAGGUCUUGACAUCUUUUGAUCACCUGAGAGAUCAGGUUUCCCCUUCGGGGGCAAAAUGACAGGUGGUGCAUGGUUGUCGUCAGCUCGUGUCGUGAGAUGUUGGGUUAAGUCCCGCAACGAGCGCAACCCUUAUGACUAGUUGCCAGCAUUUAGUUGGGCACUCUAGUAAGACUGCCGGUGACAAACCGGAGGAAGGUGGGGAUGACGUCAAAUCAUCAUGCCCCUUAUGACCUGGGCUACACACGUGCUACAAUGGAUGGUACAACGAGUUGCGAGACCGCGAGGUCAAGCUAAUCUCUUAAAGCCAUUCUCAGUUCGGACUGUAGGCUGCAACUCGCCUACACGAAGUCGGAAUCGCUAGUAAUCGCGGAUCAGCACGCCGCGGUGAAUACGUUCCCGGGCCUUGUACACACCGCCCGUCACACCAUGAGAGUUUGUAACACCCGAAGCCGGUGGCGUAACCCUUUUAGGGAGCGAGCCGUCUAAGGUGGGACAAAUGAUUAGGGUG
rnacentral:rRNA from 1 species